rnacentral:rRNA from 1 species
UGAACGCUGGCGGCGUGCCUAAUACAUGCAAGUCGAGCGAACAGACGAGGAGCUUGCUCCUCUGACGUUAGCGGCGGACGGGUGAGUAACACGUGGAUAACCUACCUAUAAGACUGGGAUAACUUCGGGAAACCGGAGCUAAUACCGGAUAAUAUAUUGAACCGCAUGGUUCAAUAGUGAAAGACGGUUUUGCUGUCACUUAUAGAUGGAUCCGCGCCGCAUUAGCUAGUUGGUAAAGUAACGGCUUACCAAGGCAACGAUGCGUAGCCGACCUGAGAGGGUGAUCGGCCACACUGGAACUGAGACACGGUCCAGACUCCUACGGGAGGCAGCAGUAGGGAAUCUUCCGCAAUGGGCGAAAGCUUGACGGAGCAACGCCGCGUGAGUGAUGAAGGUCUUCGGAUCGUAAAACUCUGUUAUUAGGGAAGAACAAAUGUGUAAGUAACUAUGCACGUCUUGACGGUACCUAAUCAGAAAGCCACGGCUAACUACGUG